AUGAGGGCAGGAACCGCCCCACGCACGACCCUCCACGUUGCGCAUUCAACACGGGUCGUGGGGAAGCGUAGCGAGCGAAGGAGUUACUGCGGUAAAAAUCCGCCCGCCUGCCCAUGCACCGUUCUGGGCCUAGCCCAACAACGCGUUGCGCUUAUGUGUGACCCAGGCCCGGGGGCUCCUGUCGGUGUACAAAAGUGGGGGCCCUUUUUGCACCCCUUUACUUGUGCACAGGCAGUCAGAGUUGCGCCCGCGGCCACACUAAGUAGGGCAGAGGAGGGAAGCCAAAAGCACAAGACGGGCAAAGCAACGCCAAGACCAGAGACACAAAGAGCAAGAGGACGAGGUGGACUCCCCCGGCAAGACCCUUGA
rnacentral:rRNA from 1 species